GACGAACGCUGGCGGCGUGCCUAAUACAUGCAAGUUGAACGCAACAAAGACACCAGAGCUUGCUCUACCGUUUUUGUUGAGUAGCGAACGGGUGAGUAACGCGUGGGUAACCUGCCUUAUAGCGGGGGAUAACUAUUGGAAACGAUAGCUAAUACCGCAUAACAAUAGAGAUUGCAUAAUCUUUAUUUGAAAGUGCCAACUGGUACACUAUGAGAUGGACCCGCGUUGUAUUAGCUAGUUGGUAGUGUAAUGGACUACCAAGGCGAUGAUACAUAGCGACCUGAGAGGGUGAUCGGCCACAUUGGGACUGAGACACGGCCCAAACUCCUACGGGAGGCAGCAGUAGGGAAUCUUCGGCAAUGGACGAAAGUCUGACCGAGCAACGCCGCGUGAGUGAAGAAGGUUUUCGGAUCGGUAAAACUCUGUUGUUAGAGAAGAAUAGUUGAUUAGAGUGGAAAAUUAAUCAAAGUGAACGGGUAUCGUAACCAGAAAGGGACGGCUAACGUACGUA
rnacentral:rRNA from 1 species